GAUUAUGGCUCAGGAUGAACGCUGGCGGCGUGCUUAACACAUGCAAGUCGAACGAAGCUCUUGAGCGGAGGCUCGGCCGAAGCGAUGAGAUGACUUAGUGGCGGACGGGUGAGUAACGCGUGGGGAAUCUGCCCCUACCGGGGGAUAACACUUAGAAAUAGGUGCUAAUACCGCAUAAGCGCACGGUGUCGCAUGACACAGUGUGAAAAAACUCCGGUGGUACGGGAUGAUCCCGCGUCUGAUUAGCCAGUUGGCAGGGUAACGGCCUACCAAAGCGACGAUCAGUAGCCGGCCUGAGAGGGUGAACGGCCACAUUGGGACUGAGACACGGCCCAAACUCCUACGGGAGGCAGCAGUGGGGAAUAUUGCACAAUGGGGGAAACCCUGAUGCAAGCGACGCCGCGUGAGUGAAGAAGUAUCUCGGUAUGUAAAGCUCUAUCAGCAGGGAAGAAAAUGACGGUACCUGACUAAGAAGCCCCGGCUAACUACGUGCCAGCAGCCGC
rnacentral:rRNA from 1 species